GGAAUCUUCCGCAAUGGACGAAAGUCUGACGGAGCAACGCCGCGUGAACGAAGAAGGCCUUCGGGUCGUAAAGUUCUGUUGUUAGGGAAGAACAAGUACCAGAGUAACUGCUGGUACCUUGACGGUACCUAACCAGAAAGCCACGGCUAACUACGUGCCAGCAGCCGCGGUAAUACGUAGGUGGCAAGCGUUGUCCGGAAUUAUUGGGCGUAAAGCGCGCGCAGGUGGUUCCUUAAGUCUGAUGUGAAAGCCCACGGCUCAACCGUGGAGGGUCAUUGGAAACUGGGGAACUUGAGUGCAGAAGAGGAAAGUGGAAUUCCAAGUGUAGCGGUGAAAUGCGUAGAGAUUUGGAGGAACACCAGUGGCGAAGGCGACUUUCUGGUCUGUAACUGACACUGAGGCGCGAAAGCGUGGGGAGCAAACA
rnacentral:rRNA from 1 species